UUUGGUGCCAGCAGCCGCGGUAAUACCGACUCCAAGAGUGUGUAUGAGAGAUGCUGCAGUUAAAAAGUCCGUAGUCAUAGAAGGGCAAAGAGAGAUGCGAGGUCUCACAGUGCGAUGAUGGAGGAGCCGAUGGGGAACAUAGUAUACCAGGGCGAGAGAUGAAAUGCCAAGACCCCUGGUGGACUGAGCGAGGCGAAGGCGAUGUUCUUGUAGGCAUUCGGUGAUCAAGGACGAAGGCUGGAGUAUCGAAAGUGAUUAGAUACCGCAGUAGUUCCAGCAGUAAAAGAUGCCGACAUGCUCAUUGGACACAGUGGGCAGGGAGAAAUCUUAGAGUUCGGGCUCUGGGGAUAGUAUGCUCGCAAGGGUGAAAAUUAAAGAAAUUGACGGAGCUACACCACAAGGAGUGGAUUGUGCGGCUUAAUUUGACUCAACGCGAGGAAACUUACCAGGGCCAAGUAUUGUGUAGAAACGAGCAAUACAGGAGUGGUGCAUGGUCGUUGGAAAUUGAUGGGAUGACUUUGACCUUAAAUGGUUGAAUGAGUGAGAUCUUUUGGACAUGUUCCGCACGGAACAGGAAGGAAAAGGCUAUAACAGAUCCGAGAUGCCCUCAGAUGCCCUGGGCUGCACGCGCAAUACAAUAGCAGGUAGAGAGAGAGACAGGAAGGUGCUCAGAUGGACUAUGUGCUGUAAGGCACAUACGAAAGAGGAAUUCCUAGUAAGUGUGUAUCAACAAUGGAUAUUGAA
rnacentral:rRNA from 1 species